UACGUAGGGGGCAAGCGUUGUCCGGAAUCAUUGGGCGUAAAGAGCGCGUAGGCGGCCCGGUAAGUCCGCUGUGAAAGUCAAAGGCUCAACCUUUGAAUGUCAGCGGAUACUGCCGGGCUAGAGUCCGGAAGAGGCGAGUGGAACUCCUGGUGUAGCGGUGGAAUGCGUAGAUAUCAGGAGGAACACCAAUGGCGAAGGCAGCUCGCUGGGACGGUACUGACGCUGAGGCGCGAAAGCGUGGGGAGCAAACAGG
rnacentral:rRNA from 1 species